UACAGAGGUCUCAAGCGUUGUUCGGAUUCAUUGGGCGUAAAGGGUGCGUAGGUGGCGCCGUAAGUCGGGUGUGAAAUUUCGGAGCUUAACUCCGAAACUGCAUUCGAUACUGCGGUGCUUGAGGACUGGAGAGGAGACUGGAAUUCAUGGUGUAGCAGUGAAAUGCGUAGAGAUCAUGAGGAAGACCAGUGGCGAAGGCGGGUCUCUGGACAGUUCCUGACACUGAGGCACGAAGGCCAGGGGAGAAAACGGG
rnacentral:rRNA from 1 species